UACGGGGGGGCAAGCGUUGUUCGGAAUUACUGGGCGUAAAGGGCUCGUAGGUGGCCAACUAAGUCAGACGUGAAAUCCCUCAGCUUAACUGGGGAACUGCGUCCGAGACUGGAAGGCUCGAAUCCGGGAGAGGGAUGUGGAAUCCAGGUGUAGCGGUGAAAUGCGUAGAUAUCUGGAGGAACAUCGGUGGCGAAGGCGGCAUCCUGGACCGGUAUUGACGCUGAGGCGCGAAAGCCAGGG
rnacentral:rRNA from 1 species